GGUUAAGGUAUUAAGGGCGCACGGUGGAUGCCUAGGCACCAGUAGCCGAAGAAGGGCGUGGCAAGCUGCGAAAAGCUUCGGGGAGGCGCAAGCGGCCUUUGAUCCGGAGAUGCCCGAAUGGGGAAACCUGCUUGGAGAAGUCCAAGCAUCCUGUAGUAGGAGGGAACCCGGUGAAGUGAAACAUCUCAGUAGCCGGAGGAGGAGAAUCAACGAGAUUCCCUGAGUAGUGGUGAGCGAAAGGGGAGUAGCCUAAACUGUGCAGAUGUUAAAGGCUGCGGCCGUUGUCUGCAUGGGGUUGAGGGACGCGUUGUGGGUAUCCGCAGGUACCCGCCACGAAGCGCUUUUUAGCCGAACAGUGUUGGGAAAGCUGACCGUAGAGGGUGAAAGUCCCGUAGGCGAAAGGGAGCGUGUAGUGGUGGACGUGAUCCCGAGUAGGCCGGAGCACGUGGAAUUCCGGUUGAAUCAGGGUGGACCACCAUCCAAGGCUAAAUACUACUGGUGACCGAUAGUGCAGCAGUACCGAGAGGGAAAGGUGAAAAGCACCCCUGGCGGGGAGUGAAAUAGACCUGAAACCGUGUGCUUACAAGCUAUCGGAGUCUGGCGCUAGCUGGAUGACGGUGUGCCUAUUGAAGAAUGAGCCGGCGAGUUACUUUACGUGGCGAGGUUAAGGGCUUUAAGGUCUGGAGCCGUAGGGAAACCGAGUCUGAAUAGGGCGUUAAGUCGCGUGGAGUAGACCCGAAGCCGUACGAUCUAUCCAUGGGCAGGUUGAAGUCCGGGUGAAACCGGAUGGAGGACCGAACCAAUCAGUGUUGAAAAACUGUUGGAUGACCUGUGGAUAGGAGUGAAAAGCUAAUCGAGUACGGUGAUAGCUGGUUCUCCCCGAAAUGCAUUGAGGUGCAGCCUCAUGUUAGAAAGUGCUGGGGGUAGAGCACUGGUUGGACGAUGGGGACUGGGGUCCUACUGACUUCAGCCAAACUCCGAAUACUGGCACUGGAUUCAUGGGAGUGAGACUACGGGUGAGAAGGUCCGUGGUCGAGAGGGAAACAACCCAGACCGACAGCUAAGGUCCCUAAGCUACGCUAAGUGUUACAAGGAUGUGGGGGAGCUUGGACAGCCAGGAGGUUGGCUUAGAAGCAGCCAUCCUUGAAAGAGUGCGUAACAGCUCACUGGUCGAGCGCCCCUGCGCCGAAAAUGUAGGGGGCUAAGCGUAGCGCCGAAGCUUCGGAUGCCAGUACUAGGUACUGGUGUGGUAGGGGAGCGUUCCAUGCGGGGUGAAGUUGAGCCGGGAGGCUUGGUGGACUGCAUGGAAGUGAGAAUGCCGGCAUGAGUAGCGAGAAACGCGUGAGAACCGCGUUCACCGGAAGCCCAAGGGUUCCUGGGGAAGGUUUAUCCUCCCAGGGUUAGGCGGGACCUAAGGCGAGGCUGAGAGGCGUAGCCGAUGGACAGCAGGUAGACAUUCCUGCCCCACCUUGGCGACGUUUGUACCGAAGGGGUGACGCAGGAGGCUAGGUGCGCAAGGUGCUGGAAUACCUUGUCCAAGGAAGUAGGGGGGACGACCAGGCAAAUCCGGUUGUCCGUUAACCCUGAGAUCUGAUGGGGAGCUCCUACGGGAGCGAAGGCAUUGACGCCAAACUGCCGAGAAAAGCCUCUAGGGAGGAGUCAAGGUGCCCGUACCCGAGACCGACGCAGGUGGGCUGGCUGAGUAGGCUAAGGUGGACGAGAGAACCCUCGCUAAGGAACUCUGCAAGUUGACCCCGUAACUUCGGGAGAAGGGGUGCCCUUUCUGGUGAGGUGUAUUAGCGAUGCUGAGCUGGAGGGGGCCGCAGAAACCAGGCCCAGGCGACUGUUUAAUAAAAACACAGGACUCUGCUUAAGGCGUAAGCCGAAGUAUAGGGUCUGACGCCUGCCCGGUGCUGGAAGGUUAAGGGGAGGGGUUAGCCGCAAGGCGAAGCUCUGAACCGAAGCCCCAGUAAACGGCGGCCGUAACUAUAACGGUCCUAAGGUAGCGAAAUUCCUUGUCAGGUAAGUUCUGACCUGCACGAAUGGCGUAACGAUCUGGGCGCUGUCUCGGCGAGGGACUCGGUGAAAUUGUGGUACCGGUAAAGACGCCGGUUACCCGUGGUGGGACGGAAAGACCCCGUGGAGCUUUACUGUAGCCUGAUAUUGGGUCUUGGUACGUCAUGUACAGGAUAGGUGGGAGGCUUUGAAGCGUGUGCGCCAGCAUACGUGGAGCCGUCCUUGGGAUACCACCCUUGAUGUGCUGGGGUUCUAACCGCAUAGGCUGAAUCGUCAUGCGGGACAGUGUCAGGUGGGCAGUUUGACUGGGGCGGUCGCCUCCUAAAGAGUAACGGAGGCGCGCGAAGGUUACCUCGAGGCGGAUGGAAAUCGCCUUUUAGAGCGCAAGGGUUAUAAGGUAGCCUUACUGUGAGACCGACAGGUCGAGCAGUCGCGAAAGCGGGUCCUAGUGAUCCGGCGGUUCCGAGUGGAAGGGCCGUCGCUCAUCGGAUAAAAGCUACCCCGGGGAUAACAGGCUGAUCUUGCCCGAGAGUCCCUAUCGACGGCAAGGUUUGGCACCUCGAUGUCGGCUCGUCGCAUCCUGGGGCUGAAGCAGGUCCCAAGGGUUGGUCUGUUCGCCCAUUAAAGCGGUACGUGAGCUGGGUUUAGAACGUCGUGAGACAGUUCGGUCCCUAUCCACCACGGGCGUAAGUGGUUUGAGGGGAGCUGCUCCUAGUACGAGAGGACCGGAGUGGACGCACCUCUAGUGUACCGGUUGUGUCGCCAGAUGCAUAAGCCGGGUAGCUAUGUGCGGAUCGGAUAACCGCUGAAGGCAUCUAAGCGGGAAGCCGGCCCCAAGAUGAGACCACUUGCCGCGUUAAGCGGGUAAGGUCGCACGGAGAUGACGUGCUUGAUAGGCCAGAGGUGUAAGGCGUGUGAGCGCUUUAGCUGACUGGUACUAAUAGACCGAGGCCUUAACCUC
rfam:Thermovirga lienii DSM 17291, complete genome.